rnacentral:rRNA from 1 species
AGAAUCAACGCUGGCGGCGUGCCUAACACAUGCAAGUCGAACGAGAAAGUGGUAGCAAUACCAUGAGUAAAGUGGCGCACGGGUGAGUAACACGUGACUAACCUACCCUUGAGUGGGGGAUAACUGAGGGAAACCUUAGCUAAUACCGCAUAAUACCCACGGGUCAAAGGAGCAAUUCGCUCGAGGAGGGGGUCGCGGCCGAUUAGUUAGUUGGCAGGGUAAUGGCCUACCAAGACGAUGAUCGGUAUCCGGCCUGAGAGGGCGCACGGACACACUGGAACUGAAACACGGUCCAGACUCCUACGGGAGGCAGCAGUGGGGAAUUUUGCGCAAUGGGGGAAACCCUGACGCAGCAACGCCGCGUGGAGGAUGAAGUCCUUCGGGACGUAAACUCCUUUCGAUCGGGACGAUUAUGACGGUACCGGAAGAAGAAGCCCGGCUAACUUCGCGCCAGCAGCCGC